GGCAGUAGCACAUAUUCUAGUGAGAACCUUGAAGACUGAAGUGAGGAAAGGUUCCACAAUUACAGCAAUUGAACGUGGCUUAGCCGAUCCUAAGAGAUAGGGAAGUUCCGUACUAAAGUGUGCGCUUGUUCGCACCGUCCUAUCGAAAGGGAAACAGGUUAGAAUUCCUGUGCCGGGAUGUGGAUUUUUGGCGGCAACGCAAACAAACAAACUAGGUACCGUCGGCGGAAGCCCUGGGGAGAGUUCUUGGUGGCUUGCUGGGGUGCAGUAGGCUUAUACCUGUCAACUGCGGCCUUUCGACCCCACAGACAGAAGCACUAGCGCCUCUCGUCUUCGGGGCCUUUUCACGAUAAAAGUUUUCAGGGUCAAGAUCCUGGCG
rnacentral:ncRNA from 1 species